rnacentral:rRNA from 1 species
CGCAUCUGUGCAUGCAGCAUAUCAAUAAGCGGAGGAAAAGAAACUAACAAGGAUUCCCCUAGUAACGGCGAGUGAAGCGGGAAGAGCUCAAAUUUGAAAUCUUAAAGGGUUUCCCUUUACGAAUUGUAGUUUAAAGAAGUGUUUUCUGUUGAGGUUUUGGUAAAAGUUCUUUGGAAUAGGACAUCAUAGAGGGUGAGAAUCCCGUAUUUGACCUUUACUUUCAACUUUGUGAUACACUUUCAAAGAGUCGGAUUGUUUGGGAAUGCAGUCCAAAAUGGGUGGUAAAUUUCACCUAAAGCUAAAUAUUGGCGAAGAGACCGAUAGCGAACAAGUACCGUGAGGGAAAGAUGAAAAGAACUUUGAAAAGAGAGUUAAACAGUACGUGAAAUUGUCAAAAGGGAAGCGUUUGACACCAGUGUUGUUUUUCUGAAAAUCAAUUAAAGAGACUGUUUAUGCUAAGUUGUUUAGACUUUAUCAGCUAACUGUUUAGUUUUGAGCUUUUCUUUAAUGCACUUUUCAGUUAACAAGUCAACAUCAAUUUCUUUUGCUGUAAAAAAGCUUGAGGAAGGUGGCUUGAGAUUCGUCUUAAGUGUUUAUAGCCUCUUGCCUAUGCAGUCGGAGAGAUUGAGGUCUGCAGCGUAGAUCCUUCGGGGCUAAAUGCAUUUGUGCUAAGUUAUAACAUUUUAUAGACAACUUGUUGACUAUGAUUUGUCUUGUAGCUUACUCGCUUAUGUUAUUUUACCUACGCUUAGGAUGUUGACAGCAGUAUAGACUGU